rnacentral:rRNA from 1 species
GAUGAACGCUGGCGGCGUGCUUAACACAUGCAAGUCGAGGGGUAGAAGUUGCUUGCAACUUUGAGACCGGCGCACGGGUGCGUAACGCGUAUGCAAUCUACCUUAUACAGAGGGAUAGCCCAGAGAAAUUUGGAUUAAUACCUCAUAGUAUAAUUGAAUGGCAUCAUUUGAUUAUUAAAGUUCCAACGGUAUAAGAUGAGCAUGCGUCCUAUUAGCUAGAUGGUAAGGUAACGGCUUACCAUGGCAACGAUAGGUAGGGGUCCUGAGAGGGAGAUCCCCCACACUGGUACUGAGACACGGACCAGACUCCUACGGGAGGCAGCAGUGAGGAAUAUUGGACAAUGGGCGCAAGCCUGAUCCAGCCAUGCCGCGUGCAGGAAGAAGCAUCUAUGGUGUGUAAACUGCUUUUGUACGGGAAGAAACACCCCUUCGUGAAGGGACUUGACGGUACCGUAAGAAUAAGGAUCGGCUAACUCCGUGCCAGCCGCCGCUGUAAUAC